CCCUUAGAUGUUCUGGGCCGCACGCGCGCUACACUGACGAAGUCAGCGAGCAUGUCCUACGCCGACAGGUGCGGGGAAUCUUGUCAAACUUCGUCGUGAUGGGGAUUGAUUAUUGAAAUUCUUGAUCAUCAACGAGGAAUUCCUAGUAAGCGCAAGUCAGCAGCUUGCGUUGAUUACGUCCCUGCCCUUUGUACACACCGCCCGUCGCUCCUACCGAUGGGUGAUCCGGUGAAUGAUUCGGACUUCAGCGGCUCCCCUGGGGUGCGCCGGAGAAAGUUUUGUGAACCUUAUCACUUGGAGGAAGGAGAAGUCGUAACA
rnacentral:rRNA from 1 species